GUUAGGUCACUAGAGGCUAUAAAUAGGAGAGUAUGGAAGCCUUGGCAUUCUUUUGCUUGUGGCUGCCAAAAUUAGAGAGAGAAGGAGAGAGAGAGAGAGAGGCGUGAACGAGAGAGAAUGAGGAGAAGAAAGGAAGAAGAAGGAGGAGGUCUUAGGGUAUUCAAGGGUGAUUAUCACUUGGGUGUUGAUCAAGUUGUGUUCUUGAUUUUACAAUCAAGAGAGGUAGCAAAUAGGGUUCUCUGUGGCACGUGUGGUGAUGUGGGGAGUUCUGUCGUCCUGGUGUGUAUGGCGUGGGGCAUCCUAUGGACGAGAAAUGAUCAACUUUAAACACCAUUUUCAAUAAUGUUAUGUUUAGUGGAAUUUUCUUAAAAUUAUCAGUGGGACUUAAACUUUUGUUUGUUUUAGAACUUUGCAUAAAACUGAUAUUUUCUUUUUAAACUUUUGGGCCCAACUUGCAUGUUUUAAGCGAGACCCCACUGAAACCUUUAUAAUAAGUGGCUUUCUAUUAUAAACCAUUGAAAAUGUGAAUGUUUUAUUAAGUACUAGUUAAUGGCGUUUU